rnacentral:rRNA from 1 species
AACGAACGCUGGCGGCAUGCCUAACACAUGCAAGUCGAACGAGACCUUCGGGUCUAGUGGCGCACGGGUGCGUAACGCGUGGGAAUCUGCCCUUGGGUUCGGAAUAACAGUUAGAAAUGACUGCUAAUACCGGAUGAUGUCUUCGGACCAAAGAUUUAUCGCCCAGGGAUGAGCCCGCGUCGGAUUAGCUAGUUGGUGAGGUAAAGGCUCACCAAGGCGACGAUCCGUAGCUGGUCUGAGAGGAUGAUCAGCCACACUGGGACUGAGACACGGCCCAGACUCCUACGGGAGGCAGCAGUGGGGAAUAUUGGACAAUGGGCGAAAGCCUGAUCCAGCAAUGCCGCGUGAGUGAUGAAGGCCUUAGGGUUGUAAAGCUCUUUUACCCGGGAUGAUAAUGACAGUACCGGGAGAAUAAGCCCCGGCUAACUCCGUGCCAGCCGCCGCAGUAAAAC